UCCCCCAGUAGCGGCGAGCGAACGGGGAGCAGCCCAGAGUCUGAAUCAGCAUGUGUGUUAGUGGAAGCGUCUGGAAAGUCGCACGAUACAGGGUGAAAGUCCCGUACACAAAAGUGCAUGUGUUGUGAACUCGAAGAGUAGGGCGGGACACGUGGUAUCCUGUCUGAAUAUGGGGGGACCAUCCUCCAAGGCUAAAUACUC
rnacentral:rRNA from 1 species